UACAGAGGGUGCAAGCGUUAAUCGGAGUUACUGGGCGUAAAGGGCGCGUAGGCGGUUAUAUUUGUGUGAUGUGAAAGCCCCGGGCUUAACCUGGGAAGUGCAUCGCAAACGGUAUGACUGGAGUAUAUGAGAGGGUGGCGGAAUUUCCGGUGUAGCGGUGAAAUGCGUAGAGAUCGGAAGGAACGUCAAUGGCGAAGGCAGCCACCUGGCAUAAUACUGACGCUGAGGCGCGAAAGCGUGGGGAGCGAACAGG
rnacentral:rRNA from 1 species